GGCUCGGAGGUCUAGAAAUAUGAUUCCCGGUUCGGGUGCGAGAGGUCCCGGGUUCAAAUCCCGGCCGAGCCC
rnacentral:tRNA from 1 species